rnacentral:tRNA from 1 species
GCCGGGGUCGCAUAACCUGGUAGUGCGCCGGUCUUGAAAACCGGUUUCCUCACGGAACUAUGGGUUCAAAUCCCAUCCCCGGCG